UACGAAGGGGGCUAGCGUUGCUCGGAAUCACUGGGCGUAAAGGGUGCGUAGGCGGGUCUUUAAGUCAGGGGUGAAAUCCUGGAGCUCAACUCCAGAACUGCCUUUGAUACUGAAGAUCUUGAGUCCGGGAGAGGUGAGUGGAACUGCGAGUUGUAGAGGUGAAAUUCGUAGAUAUUCGCAAGAACACCAGUGGCGAAGGCGGCUCACUGGCCCGGUACUGACGCUGAGGCACGAAAGCGUGGGGAGCAAACAGGG
rnacentral:rRNA from 1 species